UACGGGGGGGGUAAGCGUUGUUCGGAAUUACUGGGCGUAAAGGGCUCGUAGGCGGCCAACUAAGUCAGACGUGAAAUCCCUCGGCUUAACCGGGGAACUGCGUCUGAUACUGGAUGGCUAGAGUGUGGGAGAGGGAUGCGGAAUUCCAGGUGUAGCGGUGAAAUGCGUAGAUAUCUGGAGGAACACCGGUGGCGAAGGCGGCAUCCCGGACCACGACUGACGCUGAGUGAGCGAAAGCCAGGGGAGCAAACGGG
rnacentral:rRNA from 1 species